rnacentral:hammerhead_ribozyme from 1 species
GCACUGCUGACGAGUUACAAACAGGACGAAACAGCUGUCCAGUGC